GACGAACGCUGGCGGCGUGCCUAAUACAUGCAAGUCGAACGCAGGGGGGACGGGUGAGUAACACGUGGGUAACCUCCCAUCAGAGGGGAUAACACUUGGAAAAAGGUGCAAAACCGAUACUGAUGGAUGGAACCGCGGUGCAUUAGCUAGUUGGUGGGGUAACGGCUCACCAAGGCCACGAUGCAUAGCCGGCCUGAGAGGGUGACCGGCCACACUGGAACUGAGACACGGCCCAGACUCCUACGGGAGGCAGCAGUAGGGAAUCUUCGGCAAUGGACGAAAGUCUGACCGAGCAACGCCGCGUGUGUGAAGAAGGUUUUCGGAUCGUAAAACUCUGUUGGUAGAGAAGCGGUAUCUAACCAGAAAGCCACGGCUAACUCCGUGCCAGCAGCCGCGGUAAUUC
rnacentral:rRNA from 1 species